rnacentral:rRNA from 1 species
AGAGUUUGAUCCUGGCUCAGAACGAACGCUGGCGGCGUGUUUAAGACAUGCAAGUCGCACGGUAUGAUUCAAGUAUUUAUAUUUUAGAUGGUUCAGUGGCGCACGGGUGAGUAACACGUGAAUUACAUGCCCUAUAGAGGGGGAUAGCCCAGGGAAACUUGGAUUAAUACCCCAUAGUAUCGAAAGAGUAAAGGUGGCUUCAAGGCUGCCGCUGAAGGAUUGGUUCGCGCCCUAUCAGCUUGUUGGUGAGGUAAUAGCUCACCAAGGCAACGACGGGUACCUGGUUUGAGAGGACGAUCAGGCACACUGGAACUGAGACACGGUCCAGACACCUACGGGUGGCAGCAGUCGAGAAUAAUUCACAAUGGGGGCAACCCUGAUGGUGCAACGCCGCGUGGAGGAUGACGGUCUUCGGAUUGUAAACUCCUGUCAUCUGAGAGUAAGACCUAGACGUUAAUAGCGUAUAGGGUUGAUAGUAUCAGAAGAGGAAGGGACGGCUAACUUCGUGCCAGCAGCCGCGGUAAUACGAAGGUCCCAAGCGUUGUUCGGAAUCACUGGGCGUAAAGGGAGCGUAGGCUGCGCGGUAAGUCAGAUGUGAAAUCCCGGGGCUCAACCCCGGAACUGCAUCCGAUACUGCCGCGCUAGAGUAAUGGAGGGGUAACUGGAAUUUACGGUGUAGCAGUGAAAUGCGUGGAUAUCGUGAGGAACACUUGUGGCGAAAGCGAGUUGCUGGACAUUUACUGACGCUGAGGCUCGAAGGCUAGGGUAGCGAAAGGGAUUAGAUACCCCUGUAGUCCUAGCAGUAAACGGUGUGCGCUUGGUGUAGGAGGAUUCGACCCCUUCUGUGCCGGAGCUAACGCGUUAAGCGCACCGCCUGGGAAGUACGGUCGCAAGACUAAAACUCAAAGAAAUUGACGGGGACC